rnacentral:sRNA from 1 species
GCCAGGCACAGGGUCACAUGCCUGCAGUCCCAGCUACUCGGUGGGAGGCUGGGGAAGAAUUGCUUGAGCCCAGGACUUUGAGGCCAGCCUAGGCAACACAGUAAGACCCAU